GGAUCAGCUGUCCUUCCUGCCAACUCAGUGACCUUCUGCGACCCCAGCAAUGGUGACUGCCCUUGCAAGCCUGGGGUGGCAGGGCGACGUUGUGACAGGUGCAUGGUGGGAUACUGGGGCUUCGGAGACUAUGGCUGUCGACCAUGUGACUGUGCGGGGAGCUGUGACCCUAUCACCGGAGACUGCAUCAGCAGCCACACAGACAUAGACUGGUAUCAUGAAGUUCCUGACUUCCGUCCCGUGCACAAUAAGAGCGAACCAGCCUGGGAGUGGGAGGAUGCGCAGGGGUUUUCUGCACUUCUACACUCAGGUAAAUGCGAAUGUAAGGAACAGACAUUAGGAAAUGCCAAGGCAUUCUGUGGAAUGAAAUAUUCAUAUGUGCUAAAAAUAAAGAUUUUAUCAGCUCAUGAUAAAGGUACUCAUGUUGAGGUCAAUGUGAAGAUUAAAAAGGUCUUAAAAUCUACCAAACUGAAGAUUUUCCGAGGAAAGCGAACAUUAUAUCCAGAAUCAUGGACGGACAGAGGAUGCACUUGUCCAAUCCUCAAUCCUGGUUUGGAAUACCUUGUAGCAGGACAUGAGGAUAUAAGAACAGGCAAACUAAUUGUGAAUAUGAAAAGCUUUGUCCAGCACUGGAAACCUUCUCUUGGAAGAAAAGUCAUGGAUAUUUUAAAAAGAGAGUGCAAGUAGCAUUAAGAUGGAUAGCACAUAAUGGCACUUGUCUAUGUACAAAACACAAACUUUAGAGCAAGAAGACCUCAGACAGGAAACUGGAAUUUUUUAAAGUGCCAAAACAUAUAGAAAUGUUUGAAUGCAUGGGUCUUAUCUAACUUAUCUCUUCUGGACCCAUGUUUAAAUACAGUUUUAUUUCAUGAAGAGAAAUGAAAACCCCUACACUGAUAUCUGUUUUCUAUGGGACUGAUUCUGAAAUUCUUAACUAUUAAGAAUAUUUUAAUAGCAGCAUGACAUUUAGCAGUAAUCCAUUAAGGGCAGUACCUCUAACAAGGACGCCUUCCAGCUUCAGCGAUGUUACUUACGUUUGAUGCUACUUAAAGUAAUGAAUGACGUUUUAAGGAAUCCCUAACCCUACUAUCAGAAAAGGUGUUUGUUAAAGAGCCUUCUCUUGUGUGUUACGCAUGAACUUUGGUCUGUAGGUGUUAAAUGGAACCUCUCCAUGUGUAUAUAGUAUUUCCUUGUAUAAAGCACUUUACUACCUACCACUUGUGUUGUGAACGUUUGGUGACUGCUGUUGAAAGAAGGAAAAGGGUGUGUGAGAAAGCCUACUGAAGCAGCAGCACUGCCACUACAUGUGGACAAAAGUGACCAUAUAAAAGAAGUUGUGCUAUUUAACUCUGAAUACUUGGAGAAACUAGGUGAAGAUGCA
rnacentral:lncRNA from 1 species